rnacentral:rRNA from 1 species
UCGAGAAUCAUUCGCAAUGGGCGAAAGCCUGACGAUGCGACGCCGUGUGAACGAUGAAGGCCUUCGGGUCGUAAAGUUCUUUCGCCUGGGAACAAGAGAGGCCGACGAAUAAUCGGUUAAUUUGAGGGUACCAGGAAAAGAAGCACCGGCUAACUCCGUGCCAGCAGCUGCGGUAAUACGGAGGGUGCAAGCAUUAAUCGGAUUUAUUGGGCAUAAAGGGCGCGUAGGCGGAUAAGCAAGUCAGAUGUGAAAUCCCGGGGCUCAACCUCGGAACAGCAUUUGAAACUCCUAAUCUAGAGGAUAGGCGGGGAAAACGGAAUUCCACAAGUAGCGGUGAAAUGCGUAGAUAUGUGGAAGAACAUCGGUGGCGAAGGCGGUUUUCUAGCUUAUUCCUGACGCUGAGGCGCGAAAGCAAGGGGAUCAAACA